GCUCCGAUGGCUUAAUUGUUAGAGCGUCCGCCACAGAUGCGGGAGUUUGUGGGUUCAAUCCCCGGUCGAAUCA